UACGAAGGGGGCUAGCGUUGCUCGGAAUCACUGGGCGUAAAGCGCACGUAGGCGGUUUCUUAAGUCAGGGGUGAAAUCCUGGAGCUCAACUCCAGAACUGCCUUUGAUACUGGGAGACUUGGAGUCCGGGAGAGGUGAGUGGAACUGCGAGUGUAGAGGUGAAAUUCGUAGAUAUUCGCAAGAACACCAGUGGCGAAGGCGGCUCGCUGGACCGGUCCUGACGCUCAGGCGCGAAAGCGUGGGGAGCGAUCCGG
rnacentral:rRNA from 1 species